CAGCAGCCACGGUAAUACAGAGGGUGCGAGCGUUAAUCGGAUUUACUGGGCGUAAAGCGUGCGUAGGCGGCUUCUUAAGUCGGAUGUGAAAUCCCCGAGCUUAACUUAGGAAUUGCAUUCGAUACUGGGAAGCUAGAGUAUGGGAGAGGAUGGUAGAAUUCCAGGUGUAGCGGUGAAAUGCGUAGAGAUCUGGAGGAAUACCGAUGGCGAAGGCAGCCAUCUGGCCUAAUACUGACGCUGAGGUACGAAAGCAUGGGGAGCAAACAGGAUUAGAGACCCCCGUAGUCCCUGUCUCUUAUAC
rnacentral:rRNA from 1 species